rnacentral:rRNA from 1 species
CGGGACAACAUCCAAGGGAUGCUAAUACCGGAUGUGACGCUCCUAUCGCAUGACGGGAGCGUGAAGGAUGGCCUCUACAUGUAAGCUAUCGCUAAAGGAUGGGCCUGCGUCUGAUUAGCUAGUUGGUAGUGUAACGGACAACCAAGGCGAUGAUCAGUAGCCGGUCUGAGAGGAUGAACGGCCACAUUGGGACUGAGACACGGCCCAG